GACGAAGGACCCGAGCGUUAUCCGGAUUCAUUGGGCUUAAAGGGUGCGUAGGUGGAUUGAUAAGUCAGUGGUGAAAUCUCCAGGCUUAACCUGGAAACUGCCAUUGAUACUGUCGAUCUUGAAUAUGUUUGAUGUGGGCGGAAUAUGACAUGUAGCGGUGAAAUGCUUAGAUAUGUCAUAGAACACCGAUUGCGAAGGCAGCUCACAAAGCCAUUAUUGACACUGAGGCACGAAAGUGUGGGGAUCAAACAGG
rnacentral:rRNA from 1 species